CUUUCAUCAGACAAAGAAUGCUAAGUUGCUUCUUCAUGUCCAAACUUCAUCCUACAAAAAGCAAUAAUCAGUGUAACCUUAUUAUUGAUGUUUAUUUAUUAAAAUUGGAUAUAAAAAAUGGUGCAUAAAGCAGGUUGUGCGCGGACAUGGAGUAACUAGUCCCGAGCGCAGAUGCGCUCGAUAUCUGCAGCGUCGGUCAGUGCCUGUGGAUCUGGGCCAUUUCUUUAUUCGCGUGGUGGUGAGCGGUUGGAAAUACGUACGCCACAGGGUAGGUGGUGGGCCACGGAGAUGGAAUAGAAUGGCUAGUUUUAACGCGAAGGUGAACGGCGGCGAGGUGAGCCGUGGAUCAGAAUCACCGCUCCCCGUCUGAUCCGUUCGCUUUCCGUCAGAGACGAAUUGAAUGCAGGGGCGAGAGUCUUCUUCCCCGAGGGUCAUUUGGUAGCUGAUGAGGAGUGCGGGAUAGAGGUCUGGACCGCCGGCGGCGAGGCACCACGGAGUUUCUGAUGCAACCGAUCGGCUGAUCCGCUCUCCUUGAGGAGGUGGGGGAGAGUUUGGUCCCCGCCCCUGUGCGUGCGAAAGGCCAAGUUGUGGCAGGGCCAACAGCGCCGCGGCAGACAGCGGUGAAGUGCAGAUCUUCGUGGCGGAGGACGUGGCGGCGGAGGGAAGGGAAAGGUCACCGCCGACAUCGGAGCUGUCAACAGAGAGGAUGGAUCCUCAGGCGCCCGGAUGGAACCAGAGAGCGAGGAUUGGUGCUGCCGCUCCUGGCAGGACGCCAUGUCCAGAUUGCACGAGCGCUCUCGAGAGGGAAAUCCGCAGCUUCACAGAGAACCCAGGAGACAUUGUGAUUGUGCAUGCGUUGGGUACAAGCUUUGAUACGUUGGGCGAGGCUUACGACUUGUACAAGUUGUACUCGUGGGAGAAGGUAUCCGGUAUCAGAUACGGGAUGAGCAAAUGUGGAGAGGACAAAGUGCAUGCAAGAAAUCUUUUGUGGCUGUGCGGUAUGUAUUCUUGUAUUUCCUGAACCACAUAUGUCCGUAAUUGAAGCAUGGACAAACAAUUGAGGCUCAUAUGUUCUUGUGGACCGUUGAUUUUGCAGACGGUGAUGUCGUGUUUCCAGGCACAUGUUUAUGUGUGCACUCUGAUGAGUAUUUCCUAGAAAUAAAAGAACAAAAUGAUCCAUUUCAUGACUAUGAAUUUACAUGAAGUUUGUGUGGGAUAUGUAGAGCUACCUGAAUUUAUAGUUUGUUUUAACAGGCGACGGGAUAUAAAAUAGUUUUGGAAGUGUGCUUGCAUUCUGAAGACUAUUGCCAUCAUGAUGGUUGCACGCUGAAUUUUGAAAUUGAUAUAAGCUGGUUAACUUUGCUUGUUGAUUGGGCCAUGGAAUUGAAUGUUGAACAGAUAGCAGGGUGGGCGUGUGACAAGUGUGUGCCUUACUGCGCGCCAAGAACUGUGACGAACCAGUAUGAAUUUUGAGUGGCAAGAGCGGGAGAAAGUGAGGCUGUUUAACAGAACCAGCAGCAGCAGAGCCACUUCUGAACUGUGUGUCCCCCCUUUGAUACACUGCUUCCUGAAGGUAGAAGAAGGCUGAAGACUGGAGCGCAGCAACUGGCAAUGGCUCCUUCCGUGCUAUUCGUCUCUGAAUCUGCCAUUACUGAAGAGGCAAUAACUCAGAUGCAGCUUCCAAGCUGCAAAUAGUAUCUGAAGAGGGUUCUUAUGGAUCUGAAAGCACGGUUAACCAGGUCGUGCGGUUAGUCGCGAAGAGCGAAGGUCCAACAGCGAGGCGCAAUAAAUGGGUUAUCUGCCGCCGUGAGUCCAGAAUCUCUAAUUUCACGGCGCGCUACGUCGGGACACGUCUGAGCCGGAGAACAUGUGGCUAACGACGUAAUGCUAUCCGUUGUUCAGAAGUGGGCCAGUGGGACUGUUCAAAAAGUGAUAUACCAGAGUAAUACCUGAGCCUGUACUUGUCAGGGUGUGAAUCUCGAUGAGAAUAGACGAGGCAGAUAUAGAGUGCAUCUGAGCUCGAGCUCAGAAUAGCACUUUCCGUUGUGCGCCUUUUUUCGUCCGGUGCAACGCACGGGCAUUUGUACUAGUACGUAUAAAUCUGACAAGGCAAAACUAGUAACAAUCUAACAUCAUAUACAUUCAAGAUGUGAAGCUGCAGUUUGAGGAGAAUCUCAACCAUACUUGUGUACUCCAAUGGACCAA